GCAGGGCCUGGGAUAAUACACGUUCUGCUCUCUGCAAUGAUCUGGUGUCAGGCAGUGACUCCUACUCCACAGGGCUUUGGAAAUCUGUAAUAGCAGAUCCUGUCUGGAAUGUUCCUUCUGAGAUGCAGAGAUAAGCUCUAUCCACAAAGAGGGUAGAACAGGUGUGUCGCAGGGGCCAGAUGCGGAGAUGAGAAGCCCCUUGUCAAGGAAUCCUCUUCAACUGAUGGUGGUUCCCAGUAGGGGCUGUGGCCAGGACACCUGCAGGGGACCCUUCUGGAUGGCUGCUUGGACGUCCUCACAGCAUGGUGCCUGGGUUCCAAGGAUGAUCAUCCUGAGAGAGCAAACCAGGCAGAUAUGUCUGUCACCUUUUAUCACUUAGCCUCGAAAGUCACCUCACGUCACUCUCACCAUAGUCUUAGAUCUGCUAGAUUCAAGAGGAUGGAACUUAGAUCCAAUUUCUUGAUGGAGGAGUGUCAAGAUCAUAUUAUAAAAAGGGCACACGGGCUGGGACUCGUCUUUGGAGAAAUACAGUCUGCCACAGAGAAUAAACUAGCCCCCUGCACCAUCCUUGAGCUUUCAUGAAUGUCAGUGACAACAGACACCAUAAGGUGAAAUGAAGUGUGCAGUCAUGAAGAAAUAAGGCAGCAAGUACAAUCUUGAUAAAUGAGAAAUACCAUCCUUUCUGCCUCUUCUCCCAUUGGGUUGGAAGUUGGGAACGGAUCCAUCCGCCUGGGCUAGAAAAGAGAUAUUGUGCAGAGUUUCCGGGCCAAGCCCGUGGACUUAGGAUUCUCACCUGACCUGUUAUUCUAAAGCCUAUAAAACUCCCUUUAUUAGUUUAUGUUGUUGCAUGACAAAUUACCAUAAAUUUGGCAGCUUAAACAAUACCCAUUUAUUACUUCACAGUUUUGUUAAGUCAGGAGUCGAGGGUCAGGAAUCUAGGCAGGUUUGUGCUCGGUUAUUACGAGGCUGAAAUGAAGAUGUCAGUGGUCUGGCUGUGGGGAAGAGUCUGUCAAUACUCCAGAAAUUGUAUCAGUUCUUCUGGGCUGGGUGCUGCUAGGGAGUUUUUGACCACCAGGGGGCGCAAGAACCACAAUCCCUAUGGCUGGGGAGCGUGGCCUGAGUUCCAGCUCCCUUCUGCCACCUUGGUCCAGUAACCAGCAGCAUUCCCCUGGGAACUUGUCAGAAAAGCAGAAUCUCAGGCCCCAAACCUAGACCUGCUGAAUCAAAAUCUGCAUUUUGUCAAGACUCAGGCAAUGCGUGUGCACACUGAAGUUAGAGGAGCACUCCAGCUCACGGCUUCUCAACC